AUGGCUUGGGCUGGAAGGGAUCUCAAGGAUCAUGGAGUUCCAACCCCCCUGCCACGGGCAGGUCACCAACCUCCAUAUCUAAUACUUGACCAGGCUGACCAGCUGGCCUUGGGAAUGCAGAGAAGGGUUGCAAAGGUUCUAUUUGGGCGGUUUACUGAAGGAAGCUGAAAGUCUUACACAACUCUGGCUCCAUUAACUGGGAUUUUCAGAUGUUUAUUUAUAACCAAUUAUAAAACCGACUCCGGCCAACAACUGAGUAGCGGGUGGCCG
rnacentral:lncRNA from 1 species